GAUGAACGCUGGCGGCGUGCCUAAUACAUGCAAGUCGAGCGAACAGACGAGGAGCUUGCUCCUCUGACGUUAGCGGCGGACGGGUGAGUAACACGUGGAUAACCUACCUAUAAGACUGGGAUAACUUCGGGAACCCGGAGCUAAUACCGGAUAUUAUAUUGAACCGCAUGGUUCAAUAGUGCAAACCGGUUUUGCUGUCACUUAUAGAUGGAUCCGCGCCGCAUUAGCUAGUUGGUAAGGUAACGGCUUACCAAGGCAACGAUGCGUAGCCGACCUGAGAGGGUGAUCGGCCACACUGGAACUGAGACACGGUCCAGACUCCUACGGGAGGCAGCAAUAGGGAAUCUUCCGCAAAGGGCGAAAGCCUGACGGAGCAACGCCGCGUGAGUGAUGAAGGUCUUCGGAUCGUAAAACUCUGUUAUUAGGGAAGAACAAAUGUGUAAGUAACUAUGCACGUCUUGACGGUACCUAAUCAGAAAGCCACGGCUAACUACGUG
rnacentral:rRNA from 1 species